AACGAACGCUGGCGGCAGGCUUAACACAUGCAAGUCGAGCGCCCCGCAAGGGGAGCGGCAGACGGGUGAGUAACGCGUGGGAACGUACCUUUUGGUUCGGAACAACUCCGGGAAACUGGAGCUAAUACCGGAUAAGCCCUAACGGGGAAAGAUUUAUCGCCGAAAGAUCGGCCCGCGUCUGAUUAGCUAGUUGGUGAGGUAACGGCUCACCAAGGCGACGAUCAGUAGCUGGUCUGAGAGGAUGAUCAGCCACACUGGGACUGAGACACGGCCCAGACUCCUACGGGAGGCAGCAGUGGGGAAUAUUGGACAAUGGGCGCAAGCCUGAUCCAGCCAUGCCGCGUUAGUGAUGAAGGCCUUAGGGUUGUAAAGCUCUUUUGUCCGGGAAGAUAAUGACUGUACCGGAAGAAUAAGCCCCGGCUAACUUCGUG
rnacentral:rRNA from 1 species